rnacentral:rRNA from 1 species
UACCAGCACCCCGAGUGGUCGGGACGUUAUUGGGCCUAAAGCAUCCGUAGCCGGUUCUACAAGUCUUCCGUUAAAUCCACCUGCUUAACAGAUGGGCUGCGGAAGAUACUAUAGAGCUAGGAGGCGGGAGAGGCAAGCGGUACUCGAUGGGUAGGGGUAAAAUCCGUUGAUCCAUUGAAGACCACCAGUGGCGAAGGCGGCUUGCCAGAACGCGCUCGACGGUGAGGGAUGAAAGCUGGGGGGAGCAAACCGG